UGUGUAUACGUCAAGUUAUCGAAAAUAGAAAAACAAACAUGCUGCCGUUUUCUCAUUGCAAACAAAACAGUUUCAGUAUCAUAAAAUAAACGUUUUUGUAUGUUUUAUUCUUGCUAUUCGGAAAUCUUCAUCAUGUUUGAAGUACUACUGUUAGCAGAAUGAAAUCCCUGCCUCCAACUAAUACAAAGAUUGGUUUGAAUCUCAACAAGUUAAUUGUGAUGUCAACUAGAUCUAUUCUAUAAAGGAUUCAAGCAAUGGUGGCAAUGCAUUACGCUGAAAUAUUCUGGAAGAUAUUCAUCAACAAGUUUAACUGCGAUACACCACACUGUUUUCCAAAUCUUUUAACAGAGUGUGUGGGAUUUAACCUUUUGGAGAUAUAAAAGUAACUUAAGAAGUGUGUGGGAUUUAACCUUUUGGAGAUAUAAAAGUAACUUAAGAAGUGUGUGGGAUUUAACCUUUUGGAGAUAUAAAAGUAACUUAAGAAGUGUGUGGGAUUUAACCUUUUGGAGAUAUAAAAGUAACUUAAGAAGAGUGCUACUCAAUUUACAAAAGGCUAUCAGAACAAACAAAUUAUACAGACGUAAACUUGAUGCAACUCAAAAUACUAUUACGUCCAUUCGCUCAUGAACUAGAAACUUUUGGACCAAAUCUAGAUUUACUAAUCCAGAAAAAGAAAACUUUUCUAUUUUAGCUGCUGUGGGACAACUUAAUGUAAAUUUUUCUUUUGUCAGUGUAAUUAAAACUUUUUUCAAUUAUUAGGCCAGCAAGAAAAACCAUCCACUUAGAUUAUCAAGCUUUCAGAAAAUCUUAAGAAAUGCAAUUUUAAAAAGUUGUAUAAAGAUUACUGUUGUUGAGAAAAGAUGCUAAAGCACACAUGGAAUUUCAGUUGAUAGAAGCAAAAGGAGUUUGUUAAUAUUCUGGAAAGUUUUUAAUCCAUAUGUUAAUAUUCUGGAAAGUUUUAAAUCCAUUGUUUACAUUUUGAAUUUUUAGCUAUUUUUCUCAUAUUGCUAUCAACAUAUAUGAUCAUCUUAAAAGUACUAUAACUUAAAAACUUAUUGAUGAAAUGAUGUCAAAUUUUUUACAUUAUAAGACUAUAUUUAGUUAUCAAAGUGUGCAGUGUUAGUUAUUCAAAUAUAGUGAUUUUACAUAGUUUGACAAAUAAAUUUUAGUUUUAAAUCAAUUUUUCUUAGAUUCUUAUUUUUCCAAAAAUACCAAAACUAAAAUUGCUAUUACUUUGCAAGCAUUUAAAAUAUUUGCAUAAAAUUUGAAACACUAAAAGAUAUCUGUUAGUACUUUAACGUGACAUCCAGUGUUGUUUUUUAAAUUCAUGAUGUUCAUUUUAUUGUCUUUGACAUCUCUAAAAAAAAGGUUUUUUUGUAAAAAAACUAUACCACCUAUUUUACUUCUAAAUCUUGUGAAAAAAAAUAGAAUUGUAAUAAAAAUUGAGAUGUCA